CCUACGGGGGGCAGCAGUGGGGAAUUUUCCGCAAUGGGCGAAAGCCUGACGGAGCAAGACCGCGUGAGGGAUGAAGGCUCUUGGGUUGUAAACCUCUUUUACCAGGGAAGAAUAUUUGACGGUACCUGGUGAAUAAGCAUCGGCUAACUCCGUGCCAGCAGCCGCGGUAAGACGGAGGAUGCAAGCGUUAUCCGGAAUUAUUGGGCGUAAAGCGUCCGCAGGUGGUUAGUCAAGUCUGUCGUUAAAUAACGGGGCUCAACUCCGAAAGGGCGGUG
rnacentral:rRNA from 1 species